UGUGUCUGCCAUGUGGCCUUUUUUUUUUUAUCAAAUUAACAAAUACAUUAUAUGUUAUAUAUUAUAUUUUAUAACCCUUUCACGCACCCUUUUCUUUCCUGUUUCCGUUCCCUGUUCUCUCACAGCCCUGUUCUCCACAGCCGUUCCGUUCCGUUCUCACAGCCGUUCCGUUCCUUGUUCUCUCACAGCCGCACGCCGCACCCUUUCCCUGUUCUCUCACAACCACACCCUUAUCACAGCCACACGCCGCCUCUUCCAGUUCUUCCUCAAGACCUAUAUAUCUGCAACUCCUGGGUAACAAGGUUCAACAAGCUUUUUCAGACCUGGAGAGGGAGCGUGGUUAUCUUGUUACUGAUGAAGUGUUUGAGGCAUUGGUAAAAAUUGGAUUCUCGCUGGACUCUCCUGCUUUUUACACUGUCUAUGAGAGUUUUGAUCAAAAGAAGAAUGGAAGAUUCAUAUUAGAUGAUUUCAUAUCUCUUUGUAUAUUUUUGUAGUCAGCUCGUGCUUUGAGGUUUUGGACUUGGUCUGGGUGGCUCUGUGAUUUUUGAAUUAGGCUUGGCGGCUUUAACACUUUUGGAAUUUAGCCUUGGAAGCCUUGAGACUCUCUCAAGUGUUCUCUCCAUUUUCAACCCCAAGAACACCAAAUAAACUUGGAAGCUAAGUCUUGGUCUAGGAAGGGUUUUCCCUAAGGUAAAGUUUCAUUAAUCUAGACUUUUGUCAAGUUUUAAUCAUAGAGUUUCAAAUAGCUAAUUAUCUAUGUUGUUGGGGGAAGUUGUUUAGGGUUUUUGAAAGGUUUUGGAGGAGCCAAAGCUAAUAGGAAGGUCAAAACCUUAAGCAAGAACACCAAAGAGUAUUGGCUAAGCGUAACUGGAUUGAACGUUGGAGGGUGAAAACCUGCUGAGCGCUAAGGACUCCAAGUAAGUGCAAGGGCAAGGCAGAGCAGUGAGCGCUGGAGUCUUCCUUGCAAAUGUACAUGUGGACUGACCUUUUGGGAAGCCAUUUUAUUUUUGGAAAUGUUGUGUAAUUUUCCUAAGCAAGGCUCACUCUACUCUUUAUAAAAUAUGUUUGUAACUAAAUGUUAAGUAUGGCCAUACGACUUUUUAAAAAGUUUUUUUUAUA